rnacentral:rRNA from 1 species
AACGAACGCUGGCGGCGUGCCUAACACAUGCAAGUCGUGCGAGAAAGUUCCUUCGGGAGCGAGUAAAGCGGCGCACGGGUGAGUAACACGUAGGUAACCUGCCCCCCAGUCUGGAACAACUAGAGGAAACUCUAGCUAAUGCCGGAUGAGACCACGAUCCCUUCGGGGGUUGCGGCCAAAGAUGGCCUCUACUUGUAAGCUAUCGCUGAGGGAUGGGCCUGCGGGCCAUUAGCUUGUUGGUGAGGUAACGGCUCACCAAGGCUGUGAUGGCUAGCUGGCCUGAGAGGAUGACCAGCCACACUGGGACUGAGACACGGCCCAGACUCCUACGGGAGGCAGCAGUGGGAAUAUUGCGCAAUGGGCGAAAGCCUGACGCAGCGACGCCGCGUGGGUGAUGAAGGCCUCGGUCGUAAGCCUAGUCGCAGGGAGAAGUAAG